CCUACGGGAGUCAGCAGUAGGGAAUCUUCCACAAUGGACGAAAGUCUGAUGGAGCAACGCCGCGUGAGUGAAGAAGGGUUUCGGCUCGUAAAGCUCUGUUGGUAGUGAAGAAAGAUAGAGGAAGUAACUGGCCUUUAUUUGACGGUAAUUACUUAGAAAGUCACGGCUAACUACGUGCCAGCAGCCGAGGUAAUACGUAGGUGGCAAGCGUUGUCCGGAUUUAUUGGGCGAAAAGCGAGUGCAGGCGGUUCAAUAAGUCUGAUGUGAACGCCUUCGGCUCAACCGGAGAAUUGCAUCAGAAACUGUUGAACUUGAGUGCGUAAGAGGAGAGUGGAACUCGAGGUGUAGCGGUGGAAUGCUUAGAUAUAUGGAAGAACACCAGUUGCGAAGGCAGCUCUCUGGUCCGCAACUGACGCUGAGGCUCGAAAGCAUGGGUAGCGAACAGGAUUAGAUACCCUUGUAGUC
rnacentral:rRNA from 1 species